rnacentral:rRNA from 1 species
UGCGUAGGGCGCAAGCGUUGUCCGGAAUUAUUGGGCGUAAAGAGCUCGUAGGCGGCUUGUUACGUCUGCUGUGAAAUCCCGGGGCUUAACCCCGGGCGUGCAGUGGAUACGGGCAGGCUGGAGGGAGGCAGGGGAGAACGGAAUUCCCGGUGUAGCGGUGAAAUGCGCAGAUAUCGGGAGGAACACCGGUGGCGAAGGCGGUUCUCUGGGCCUGUACUGACGCUGAGGAGCGAAAGCGUGGGGAGCGAACAGG